rnacentral:lncRNA from 10 species
CUCGGAUUCAAGCUGCUGGCGGGAAGUGCGCUAGGCGGAGCUGUGGUCUAGCGAGAGUCCCUGUUUCCCCCUUUUCUUCCUUUUCACAGGAUCUCACCCCAUAAAACCCUGUCUUACCAUUCAAAUUGUCUGUAAGCCUGAAUUUUCGCGGCCCUAAGACAAAGAACCUUGUCUUUCACUGAAUUUAAAAAAAGUCCUGCAACAUUUUUGGUGCACAACGUGGGGGUUCGAGAAGCGAUUUUCUGGUCAGAUUAAGCCAAGUAAAAUGAACUUAACUCAAAGCCUUGAAGACAGAAAAACUUAUAAAAGUACAGCCUGCAGUAUUCUCAUUCAGAAAGAACAACAGGGCAAAAGACCUGAAGAAGGAGCAUACUGCGGUUUUCAGAAUACCAUCGAGGAGGAGAGAGUCUGGCCCUUGCAGAAACCAGAUGGAUCCAUGAGGAC